AAUAGUGGAGAAAUGACAGAGAAGUUAUAUUUGAAGAGAUGAUAGCUAAAUAAAUGUUUUUCCAGAAUUAGAGAAAGAUAUACAAUUUAAUUUACAUUAUAGUGAAGCUUCAGAACAUCAAGGGUAAGGGGAAAAUUCUAAAAGCAACAAGAUAAAAAAGACAGAUUACCUAAAAUGACAGAUGAUUUGUCAUAGUAGAGUCUAGAAGAAAAUGGAGCAAGAUCUUCAGAAUGGUGAAGAAUAUACAGUCUUCAUUAUGUGUGAAUUCACCUACUAAAAUUUAUUUUUGUCCCGCAAAUCAAUACUCACAGUGCUAUCAUAGUCAUUUGUGGACAUGCACAGAGAAGCUGAACAUUUGAGUCACGCAAUAUACACGUUCCCAGCUGAGGUCAGACAAGUGGGAAGAUCUGUAAUUUAUUUCCAGCAAACAUCAGGCUAUGGAGACCUCAGGUCCAGUGUGCAGUGAUGGGUGUUCACUUGUGAAUUGGAGCAUUCUUCUUAAGACUUCAAGGAAUACUUGUAACAAAACAGGCUGCAUUUGGAAGUAUUGUGAAGAGAGGUCCCAAAUAAUCAAAAUUAAAGAGAGAGUAUGAGCCAGGAGAAGGGCAGAGAGAGAGAGAGAGAGAGGGAGAGAGAG